GGUGGGUUGGCAGAGUCCGGCUUAAUGCGCUCGUCUUGAAAACGAGAGACCGCCGCAAGGCGGUCCGGGGGUUCGAAUCCCUCACCCACCG
rnacentral:tRNA from 1 species